rnacentral:rRNA from 1 species
UAGGGAAUCUUCGGCAAUGGGGGGAACCCUGACCGAGCAACGCCGCGUGAGUGAAGAAGGUUUUCGGAUCGUAAAGCUCUGUUGUUAAGGAAGAACGAGUGUGAGAAUGGAAAGUUCAUGCUGUGACGGUACUUAACCAGAAAGGGACGGCUAACUACGUGCCAGCAGCCGCGGUAAUACGUAGGUCCCGAGCGUUGUCCGGAUUUAUUGGGCGUAAAGCGAGCGCAGGCGGUUAGAAAAGUCUGAAGUGAAAGGCAGUGGCUCAACCAUUGUAGGCUUUGAAAACUGUUUAACUUGAGUGCAGAAGGGGAGAGUGGAAUUCCAUGUGUAGCGGUGAAAUGCGUAGAUAUAUGGAGGAACACCGGUGGCGAAAGCGGCUCUCUGGUCUGUAACUGACGCUGAGGCUCGAAAGCGUGGGGAGCGAACAGG